rnacentral:rRNA from 1 species
UACGAAGGGGGCUAGCGUUGUUCGGAAUUACUGGGCGUAAAGCGCGCGUAGGCGGACAUUUAAGUCAGGGGUGAAAUCCCGGGGCUCAACCCCGGAACUGCCUUUGAUACUGGGUGUCUAGAGUCCGGAAGAGGUGAGUGGAAUUGCGAGUGUAGAGGUGAAAUUCGUAGAUAUUCGCAGGAACACCAGUGGCGAAGGCGGCUCACUGGUCCGGUACUGACGCUGAGGUGCGAAAGCGUGGGGAGCAAAC